AUUGAACGCUGGCGGCAGGCCUAACACAUGCAAGUCGAGCGGAGCGGCGGACGGGUGAGUAAUGCCUAGGACUCUGCCUGGUCGUGGGGGAUAACGUCCGGAAACGGGCGCUAAUACCGCAUCCUAUCAGAUGAGCCUAGGUCGGAUUAGCUAGUUGGUGGGGUAACGGCUCACCAAGGCGACGAUCCCUAGCUGGUCUGAGAGGAUGACCAGCCACACUGUAACUGAUACACGGUCCAGACUCCUACGGGAGGCAGCAGUGGGGAAUAGUGCACAAUGGGCGCAAGCCUGAUGCAGCCAUGCCGCGUGUAUGAAGAAGGCCUUCGGGUGGUAAAGUACUUUCAGCGGGGAGGCGGUACCCGAAGAAGAAGCACCGGCUAACUCCGUGCAAGCCGCCGCGGUAAUAG
rnacentral:rRNA from 1 species